rnacentral:rRNA from 1 species
AACGAACGCUGGCGGCAUGCCUAACACAUGCAAGUCGAACGAGACCUUCGGGUCUAGUGGCGCACGGGUGCGUAACGCGUGGGAACCUGCCCUUAGGUUCGGAAUAACUCCCCGAAAGGGGUGCUAAUACCGGAUAAUGUCUGCGGACCAAAGAUUUAUCGCCUUGGGAUGGGCCCGCGUUGGAUUAGCUAGGUGGUAGGGUAAAAGCCUACCACGGCGACGAUCCAUAGCUGGUCUGAGAGGAUGAUCAGCCACACUGGGACUGAGACACGGCCCAGACUACUACGGGAGGCAGCAAUGGGGAAUCUUGGACAAUGGGCGGAAGCCUGAUCCAGCAAUGCCGCGUGAGUGCUGAAGGCCUUAGGGUUGUAAAGCUCUUUUACCCGGGAUGAUAAUGACAGUACCGGGAGAAUAAGCUCCGGCUAACUCCGUG